rnacentral:lncRNA from 1 species
UGCUCUCUCUCUCUCUCUCUCGCAUUACUCAUUACUACUUUCCUCUCUCUCUCUUUCUCUGUUUCUUGUUCAAGAUUAUACUCUGAGACCGAAAAUCUUGGACAACCCAAAAAGGCAAACAGAGUGGCAAAACACUCGAUGAAGUCGAAGCUGGGUUGGGUUUUGUAUAUAGUUAUUGAUUAGCUUCAAGAAGACUAGUGCUUGUGUCUCUCUCUGUAAGUGAGAGACUGUCGUUGUUCGAGUGUUUCUUGAUUCUGUUUUUAACUGUUACCAAUCAAAAGUUGGAUUCUUCUUUUCUUUUCUUAGAGACAGAUUAUAGAUACCAAUCUAAUAGAAGAGAGAUUAUUGAGCUAAGUUUCCAUGUACUGCAUUUGGGACAUCUCUCUCUUCUUCAUGUGCUUCUUCUCUGUUCUCUUCCUUUUUUCCUGUUACAAUUUCAAGAUUUCAGUUAAAAACUUAAAUCCUUUGUAAACUCCGUCUCAAAGCCCAAUUAUAUGUCUUUGCAGAGUUCUUUAACGAAUAAAAACAAAUUAAAGAAACUAUUAACUAGUAGUUAAUGAAAUUACUGAAAUUAGAAAAUAAAUAAUCAUCUUUAGGUCCCUGAACUUUUCAAUUUUUACAUUAUAUCCAUAAAGUGUGUUAACACUUAAUGUGAAGGACCUUUCACUUAACAUGAAGCAUAAUAUAUAAUUAAGAUGAAUGCAUAAUGUAUGGGCUUAAAAAUGGAGGAUUAAGAAAAAAGAAGACUUGCAUUUUAGAAUAUUAUGAAGAGUACUUAUGUCUAUAAUUCAAAAAGAUAUUAAAAGUAUUAAAUCUACCUGACAGGACAUCGUAAAAAGACAUGAAUGAAUAUCCUAUUGAUAAUGGACAUAAAUAUAUUAAAUUGCAUCAUAUAUACUACAGCAGGCAAAAAUGCUAUUAAUAUCAAUGAAAAUAACAUGUUCACAAACUUAAUAAAGCAUAAAUAUAGUGUAAGGACCUAAUACAAAAAAUUGAAAAAAUAUAAGGACCUACAAUUAGUCCUUUCUAGAAAACAUAGUUUUUCAAAAGUAUAUGAUAUUGAUAGCAAGGCAAUUUUUUUAUUUUUUUUUUAAUUUCUC